AGCGAACGCUGGCGGCAUGCUUAACACAUGCAAGUCGAACGGGCUUCUUCGGCAGUCUGUGGCAGACUGGUGAGUAACACGUUGGAACGUGCCCUUCGGUUCGGAAUAACUCAGUGACACUUCAGCUAAUACCGGAUACGCCCUUUUGUUGUAAGGUUUACUGCCGAAGGAUCUGCCGGCUUCUGCUUUUCUUGCUGGUGGGGUAAGGGCCUACCAAGGCGACGAUCAGUAGCUGGUCAGAGAGGAUGAGCAGCCACACUGGGAGUGAGACACGGCCCAGAAUCCUACGGGAGGCAGCAGUGGGGAAUAUUGGAAAAUGGGGGCAAGCAUGAACGAGGCAUGCCGGGUGAGUGAUGAAGGCAGUAGGGUUGUAAAGCUCGUUUGUACGGGAGGAUAAUGACGGUACCGGAAGAAUAAGCCCCGGCUAACUUCGUG
rnacentral:rRNA from 1 species